AAUGGAUUUAAGUAGGCUUUUUAUCUGUUUCUCCAAGCGCUAAAGUAAAGGAGGAAGGGUUUUGGAGCACGUUACUCAUGCGUGGUUCUGCUAUGCAUUCAGGCUAUAAGGAAAACUAAUUGAAACCAAGAAUGCGGAGGUAUUUAUGAGUUAAGUUGAGAAUCAAGGAGUUCUGCCAUGGUUGAUGAACGACAAUUUCUAUAGAGUUUCAACAAAGAGAGUAAACCAAGAUACUAUUAACCUGGCCGGAUUUGGAUUUGUUUAAGUUCAGAUUUGGAGCUUUGGGUCAUAUUUUUUUCCCCUUUUCAUGUUUGUGUAUAGGGACAUCACAGGGGCCAAUUUGCUUGUCGAUUCUGCUGGUCUUGUUAAGCUUGCUGAUUUUGGGAUGGCUAAGCAUAUAAUCCUUACAUUCGGGUAGAAUAACUUGGAAUCUCUAUGUUCCGAGGCUAACUGGAUAUGAAGCUAAUCUUUCUUUGAAAGGAAGUCCAUACUGGAUGGCUCCAGAGGUACAUUCUUACUCUACAUUACUCUGUGCUGUCUCAUACAUUAAUUACUUAGUAACACUUAAAUUCUCAUUUAGCUUUUGCAGGCUGUGAUGCAAAAGGAUAACAGCUCUGAUCUAGCUUUUGCUAUUAAUAUUUGGAGUUUGGGUUGUAUAAUCAUUGAAAUGUUCACAGGGAUGCCUCCUUGGAGCAAGUAUGAAGGAGUAAAAGCCUGCAGAAAAUUCUCUUAUGUCUUUUUUGAUUUGUUAUUCCCAGGCUACUUCAGUAACCAUAUAGUAUAAGAUUUCUCGUAGGUUAUAGAUCCCCAAUAAUUUUUUGUUCCAUUUUCUUUUUUGAUUCUCUAAAAUAAUUUUUACAGAUAUGUGACAUGGUUGCUAUUGCAAGAUAUUUGAAUGUCACGCUUAUAGUCCUACUCUUUUACAGAUAUGUGACAUGGUUGCUAUUACAACUAAAGCAUCCUUUUGGGCUGAUCCCAGUUUUGAUGUGUAUCUCUUGGUGCAAAAGACAUUGCUAUGAUGUCCCUUUUUAAAAGGAACCAGAGGAGAUCCCUUGGACUGAGACUGGAGCUGAAAUUAUUGUUGAGUCCACUAGAGUUUUCACAGAUAAGGAAAAGGCCGCUGCACAUUUGAAGGUAUGAUAUGGUAGAUGGCAUUUCAAAGGACUAGGAUGGCAUACAAGAACAAAUCCUAAAUAUAAGGAAAAUUUGUACUACCAUAUUUUUUUAUGGAAUUGAGAAGAUAUUUUUUUGUAUAGCUGUCCCAUAAGUAAACUUUUUAUUAGUUAUAUUUGGCAUUUUUUUCCCUCUAUGAUAUUGGUAGAAAGCUUCGUUAGCUUGUAUAAAUUGAAAACAUGAUGGCUUGUACAAAUUCGUCA